rnacentral:rRNA from 1 species
CAGUCGCCACGGUAAGACGAAGGUGGCGAGCGUUGUUCGGAAUCACUGGGCAUAAAGCGCACGUAGGCGGUGACGUAAGUCGGGUGUGAAAUCCCUCGGCCUAACCGAGGAACUGCGCCCGAUACUGCGUUGCUUGAGGAUCAGAGGGGUGCAUGGAAUUUCCGGUGGAGCGGUGAAAUGCGUUGAUAUCGGAAGGAACUCCGGCGGCGAAAGCGAUGCACUGGCUGAUUUCUGACGCUGAGGUGCGAAAGCCAGGGGAGCAAACGGGAUUAGAUACCCCCGUAGUCCCUGUCUCUUAUAA